rnacentral:rRNA from 1 species
UGUAACCAAGGUUUCCCGUAGGUGAACCUGCCGAAAGGAUCAUUAAAGAAAAUUUAAUAAUUUUGAAAAUGGAUUUUUUUGUUUGGCAAAGAGCAUGAGAGCUUUUACUGGGCAAGAAGACAAGAGAUGGAGAGUCCAGCCGGGCCUGCGCUUAAGUGCGCGGUCUUGCUAGGCUUGUAAGUUUCUUUCUUGCUAUUCCAAACGGUGAGAGAUUUCUGUGCUUUUGUUAUAGGACAAUUAAAACCGUUUCAAUACAACACACUGUGGAGUUUUCAUAUCUUUGCAACUUUUUCUUUGGGCAUUCGAGCAAUCGGGGCCCAGAGGUAACAAACACAAACAAUUUUAUCUAUUCAUUAAAUUUUUGUCAAAAACAAGAAUUUUCGUAACUGGAAAUUUUAAAAUAUUAAAAACUUUCAACAACGGAUCUCUUGGUUCUCGCAUCGAUGAAGAACGCAGCGAAAUGCGAUACGUAAUGUGAAUUGCAGAAUUCCGUGAAUCAUCGAAUCUUUGAACGCACAUUGCGCCCCUUGGUAUUCCAGGGGGCAUGCCUGUUUGAGCGUCAUUUCCUUCUCAAACAUUCUGUUUGGUAGUGAGUGAUACUCUUUGGAGUUAACUUGAAAUUGCUGGCCUUUUCAUUGGAUGUUUUUCUUCCAAAGAGAGGUUUCUCUGCGUGCUUGAGGUAUAAUGCAAGUACGGUCGUUUUAGGUUUUACCAACUGCGGCUAAUCUUUUUUUAUACUGAGCGUAUUGGAACGUUAUCGAUAAGAAGGGAGCGUCUAGGCGAACAAUGUUCUUAAAGUUUGACCUCAAAUCAGGUAGGAGUACCCGCUGAACUUAAGCAUAUCAA